rnacentral:tRNA from 1 species
GAGGGUGUAGCGCAGUGCUAGAGUGUGUGCUUAGCAUGCAUGAGGUCCUGGGUUCUAUCCCCAGUACCUCCA